CAGGAAGAAGCUCACCUGUGUGUCCGUGUUUAGUGUGAAGUGGAGCUUGUUUUCGCUGUGUGUGUUUGAAAAAACUGUGGAGUCCUGCCUCCUUCCAGGACCUAACCUGUGUGUCCGUGUUUAGUGUCCAGGUGUGGAGUGGAGCUUGUAGUUGGGGUGUGUUUGGAGAAAUUGUGAAGGUGGAAAGUUUGUGUGAGCUGAUGUGAAAUGAGCAGCAUGGAUCAGUGUGAGGACAG